rnacentral:rRNA from 1 species
AGAGAGUUAAAGAGGACGUGAAACCGAUGAGGUGGAAACGGAUAGAGCCAGCGUAUCUGGCCUGCAUUCAACCACACGCGGAAAGCGCUCSUGCAGCUGGCGACUCCAGAUUGGGACAGUUGUGCAGGGCCAUGCUGGAUGCGAGUGGUGCAUUUGCAGGCCGAGUGCGCCGAGGCGCUCGGAGCAGCGGUGUGAGCCCGGUCUUGAGGCCAGCCUGGCUGGUACCCGGACACGGGGGAGUGUUGUUUGCUCUGGGUGAUAGGGUGCAUGGCUUACGGGCCCGGCURGGUGCCGAACUGUCAGCGGGCGGCGGUCGCAUGCGACACGUGCCUUUGCCAGCAGUUCGGUCCUGGUCGAGCUCACAUGCCCGCUCUCGGUGUAAGAGCUGGUCAUCUCUCCGACCCGUCUUGAAACACGGACCAAGGAGUUUAUCGUGUGCGCGAGUCAUUGGGCGUUGAAAACCCAAAGGCGCAAUGAAAGUGAAUGCCUCCGCAAGGAGCUGACGUGCGAUCCUGCACUCCGCGGAGUGUGGGCGCAGCAUGGCCCCAUCCUAACUGCCUGCAGUGGGGUGGAGGAAGAGCGUGCGCGAUGAGACCCGAAAGAUG